rnacentral:sRNA from 5 species
UUGCUAUCUGCGAUAUGGAAGAUUCGAACCUGCCGCAGGUUCGGGUCUCACGCAGUGAGACAACGGAGCCGUUUACGGCGACGGCCCGAAGGGCGAGCGAAGCGAGUCAUCCUGCACGACCCACCA